UGGACCGAUGAUGAAUAUCCUGGGGUUUCUGAAUCAAUGAUUUUGAUUAAACCCUAUGACCUGAGGUCAGC